rnacentral:rRNA from 1 species
CUCAUUAAAUCAGUUAUAGUUUAUUUGAUGGUCUCUUUGUUCUUCUUUUUACCUACUUGGAUAACCGUGGUAAUUCUAGAGCUAAUACAUGCGCAAGGUCCCGAGCGCGGAGGGUAGGGCUUCACGGCUCUAUCCUUGCAUGCGCAGAGGGAUGUAUUUAUUAGGUUAAACAACCAGCAUUUUCAUAUCAUCUGGUGAUUUCAUAGUAACUCUUUCGGAUCGCAUUCAUG